rnacentral:tRNA from 1 species
CUAAGAGUAACGAAGAGUCCUUCAUUGGACUGCUUCAUCUUAAUAAAUCUCUCACGAGUCUUGUAUUGGUUUGACAGUCAUUUUCUGCUUAGUUUCCAGUGAUCCAUGUUAUUUGACACACCACUUAUCCCGGGGAAUUAGCUCAGCUGGGAGAGCGCCUGCCUUGCACGCAGGAGGUCAGCGGUUCGAGCCCGCUAUUCUCCACCAGAGAAGAUCAGAUGAAGUCUGAUUCAAGCACUCUUAUGAGUAUUUGAAUUAGACUUUUAAAGUCUAAAUGUUAUUUGAAUUAUUAUUGUUAAGUCGUCAACUAAAUAUGUUUGACAUAGAGUGAUCUAUGAAAAAUGUAAUAUAAAAAACGUAACUACAAAAUCAUUUUACUGUCUUAUUUUUAAUAAGGCGGUGAAGCGCAAAUUAGAAUUAAAUACAUAGUUAGCAACCAUACGGUUCUCAGAUGCAAAAGCUGAAAACUUUUAGUUGUUUUAAUAGAGCUAGUCUCUAACGUGUUGCUUGCAACAAUGUAUA